rnacentral:rRNA from 1 species
GACGAACGCUGGCGGCGUGUCUAAUACAUGCAAGUCGAACGCAGCGGGGACGGGUGAGUAACACGUGGGUAACCUCCCAUCAGAGGGGAUAACACUUGGAAACAGGUGCUAAACCGAUACUGAUGGAUGAACCCGCGGUGCAUUAGCUAGUUGGUGAGGUAACGGCUCACCAAGGCCACGAUGCAUAGCCGACCUGGGCGGGUGAUCGGCCACACUGUGCCUGAGACCCGGCCCAGACUCCUACGGGAGGCAGCAUUAGGGAAUCUUCGGCAAUGGACGAAAGUCUGACCGAGCAACGCCGCAUGAGUGGAGAAGGUUUUCGGGUCGUAAGACUCUGUUGUUAAGAGAGCGGUAGCUAACCAGAAAGCCACGGCUAACUACGUGCCAGCAGCCGCGGUAAUUC